rnacentral:rRNA from 1 species
AUGAAGUGGAGCUUGCUCCACGGAUUAGUGGCGAACGGGUGAGUAACACGUGAAUAACCUGCCCUCAAUUUCGGAAUAACCCAGGGAAACCUGGGCUAAUACCGGAUACGUAAACCUGUGGCAUCACAUGGUUUUGGAAAGUUUUUCGAUUGAGGAUGGAUUCGCGGCCUAUCAGCUUGUUGGUGAGGUAAUGGCUCACCAAGGCGACGACGGGUAGCCGGCCUGAGAGGGUGGACGGCCACACUGGGACUGAGACACGGCCCAGACUCCUACGGGAGGCAGCAGUGGGGAAUAUUGCGCAAUGGACGAAAGUCUGACGCAGCGACGCCUCGUGAGGGACGAAGGUCUUCGGAUUGUAAACCUCUUUCAGCAGGGACGAAGCGAAAGUGACGGUACCUGC